UAGGGAAUCUUCCGCAAUGGGCGAAAGCCUGACGGAGCAACGCCGCGUGAGUGAUGAAGGUCUUCGGAUCGUAAAACUCUGUUAUUAGGGAAGAACAAAUGUGUAAGUAACUAUGCACGUCUUGACGGUACCUAAUCAGAAAGCCACGGCUAACUACGUGCCAGCAGCCGCGGUAAUACGUAGGUGGCAAGCGUUAUCCGGAAUUAUGGGCGUAAAGCGCGCGUAGGCGGUUUUUUAAGUCUGAUGUGAAAGCCCACGGCUCAACCGUGGAGGGUCAUUGGAAACUGGAAAACUUGAGUGCAGAAGAGGAAAGUGGAAUUCCAUGUGUAGCGGUGAAAUGCGCAGAGAUAUGGAGGAACACCAGUGGCGAAGGCGACUUUCUGGUCUGUAACUGACGCUGAUGUGCGAAAGCGUGGGGAUCAAACAGG
rnacentral:rRNA from 1 species